UGCUUAGCAGAGAUUACUGGAGACAUUGCUUUCUUAUUUGGUUCCAGCACUAUUCAUGGCCGAAUUGAUCAAGUCAACCAGCUCCUUGAACUGGAUCAUCAGAAGAGGGGCGGUGCCCGAUAUACUGCACUAGAUAAAUGGACCAACCAACUAAACUCUCUGAACCAGGCUGUGGUCAGUAAACUGGCUUAACGGAGAGCAAGCUUUGCAGACGUGCUUAUGGCAACAGUGCAGAGAUGCAAUCCUUGCGGACUGGAAAGGCAGAACUCCUGUGGGUUGGUGUAUCCUGAAAGUGACUGGAGUUAUGGCAGAAGGGCUUUUUUGAUCAACUGGUUUGUGUAUUGCUGCUGCAUUUAUCCCAAGAAAAACAGCUUUAAUCUCCAGAAGAAAACCAAAACACCAUGGGAUUUAUGCUGUGUUGACACCUUGCCCUAAACAUACAACACCAUAGUAAUUUGUCAUGGGCAACAUGACCAGAGAGAUUUUUGUCAUGAUUUUAAAUACACUGACACGCUACUGUUGGUUAAAUUUAAACAUGUUGUACCUGCAGAAAUUCUCUCACAAAUAACCUGCAAUAACUUGAAAUUCAUACCCUUUUGAACACUUCCUUUUCUCAUGUAUAAAUGAAAAUGUUUGCUGCAUUUUGCAAAAUGUCAAUUCUCCAAAACUGUGUCCGUCUACUUCUGUACUUGCAGCUAGUGAAGGUUAGAUGACCCGUGCCCUCUGUGGUACACUGUCACCUAGGGCUCAAGCAGCAAAAUAAACAGUGCAGCUCAGAAAUUGUAGCUUGGUUCUUGAUGUGUUUUUAUUACAUUCGGGGUUAAUCUUUUGUUUUUAGUAUCUUACAAUUUUCAGGUUAUUUUGUCUUCAGUUAAGAUUUAAAAGCCUGAGAGCAAAUAAGAAAAGCUAGUUCUUUGCUUUCAGGUUUUUAAAAUUACUGUUUAUUGAUAAAGUAAGGACUACUUUCAGGCAGAGCCCUUACAUAGCACUUGUUUUGACAGUGAUAGUUUAAAGGAUUACGAUUCUUUUUUUAAAAAAAGAAUGAUAAUUUUCUUUUUAAAAGAGUAUGUAUUAACUCUCAGAAUGUCACUUUAAACAAAUAUGCCAGAACAUAGACAGCGAAGUGAAUGUUACCUGCAUAGUGACCAUGCUGAAAGGUUAUUUUCUAACGCCAGCAACGAACCAUUGCCCAAAGCCUCUUGGGUUUGCUCUUUGAGAAUUACAGUCAAAGUUAAUUUAGGUGACGUGCUACUAACUUUAUGUUUAUACCUUGUUUGAAAAGAGUAUUAACAGACUUGUCCGUCUUUGCCCUAAUUUGGCCCCAAAUACCAGUUUCAGGGGAAAAAAAAAAAGCUAAAUUUAGAUAAUGUAGAAAGUAUGUAUCUGGCUUUGAAAACAAUCCCAGAAUAAUUUUCAAGUAUUUUGUGCAGUGGCAGCAUAGUUAAGAAUGAACUCUAUGGCCUUUGAUAGUGGCAGAACUCAGCUCAUUUGAAUGUAUUGAGUUUUGGAUGUAUUUGGUUUUUUUAAGUUCACAUCGUAUAGUGUCAAAAGAAAGAACUAAGAUUACCAUAAUGUCCUUGGUUUUCUGUUGCUCAUUAUUAUGUAAAGAGUUGAGUGGCAGUGCAGAAGGAGGACUGUGUGACUGAAGAGUGGCAACCAAGAAUUUUGAUCAUUAAAUCAGAUUUUAUAAACAGUAGAAAGAGCAUGGACUUAAAACAAGGCAUGCUUAUUUGGUUUUGUCAAAAUUUUACGAAAAUAUGUGAUAUAUAUUUAUACUAAAACUAUAUAAUCCUUAGAUUUAGGAAAGCAGUCAGUUAAUGUCUAGCAGAAUAAAGCAGUAUUAAAUACAGAUAUACGUUGGAAACUGUAGAAAACUGAAAGAAGACGAAAGACGAAAUGUCAAUGGUAGGGAAUAAAACAUUUAAGAUAUUAUGAAAGUAUGUGUAUUUUCUUCUAUUCUACAUAAAUCAUUUGUGAAAAGUGUGUUCACGUUUUUUACAGGAGUGAUAUUAAUUAGGAUUUAUUUUUCCAAUACAAUUUGGAGACCCUUUGUUACCCAAAUAAAAAUGACAAGUUUCUGUGCCUGUA
rnacentral:lncRNA from 1 species